rnacentral:rRNA from 1 species
UACGGAGGGUGCAAGCGUUGUCCGGAUUUAUUGGGUUUAAAGGGUGCGUAGGCGGCCCAUUAAGUCAGCGGUGAAAGCCCGGGGCUCAACCCCGGAACCGCCGUUGAUACUGGUGGGCUUGAGUAUGGACGAGGUUGGCGGAAUUGAGGGUGUAGCGGUGAAAUGCUUAGAUACCGCCAAGAACCCCGAUUGCGUAGGCAGCUCGCUGUGCCGAAACUGACGCUGAGGCACGAAAGCGUGGGGAGCGAACAGG